GACGAACGCUGGCGGCGUGCUUAACACAUGCAAGUCGAACGGUGAAGCGCCUUCCUUUUUGGUGGGUGUGGAUGAGUGGCGAACGGGUGAGUAACACGUGAGUAACCUGCCCCCUUCUUCUGGAUAACCGCAUGAAAGUGUGGCUAAUACGGGAUAUUCUGGUUCUGUCGCAUGAUGGGUCUGGGAAAGAUAUUGUUUCGGUGGGGGAUGGGCUCGCGGCCUAUCAGCUUGUUGGUGGGGUGAUGGCCUACCAAGGCGGUGACGGGUAGCCGGCCUGAGAGGGUGGACGGUCACACUGGGACUGAGACACGGCCCAGACUCCUACGGGAGGCAGCAGUGGGGAAUAUUGCACAAUGGGCGAAAGCCUGAUGCAGCGACGCCGCGUGAGGGAUGGAGGCCUUCGGGUUGUGAACCUCUUUCGCCAGUGAAGCAGGCCUGCCUCGUUUGUGGGUGGGUUGACGGUAGCUGGAUAAGAAGCGCCGGCUAACUACGUG
rnacentral:rRNA from 1 species